rnacentral:piRNA from 1 species
AGGCCUUCUUGCGUAGCACUUGA